UACAUGUGAGGACUUAGGGAGAAGGCAGACUUCUAUAAGUCAGAAGAGAGCUCUCACCAGAAACCACAAAUGCCAGCACCUUCAUCUUGGACUUUCCGACCUCUAGGAUGAAUACUCAGAUCAUGGCAACUCCAGAAUUUCCACGUAAGAAGAGUUUUCAAAGGACAAUCUGAUGGGAGAUGCACUUGACAAGACAUCUGGACGAUCCUAUGAAGGAAAGGCAUGCUUCCCAGAGGCUGGUGCUCACUUCAUAAUGGAGCAGCAGGGCUCUGGCUCUUAAUUCUGUG